CCUACGGGAGGCAGCAGUGAGGAAUAUUGGUCAAUGGGCGCGAGCCUGAACCAGCCAAGUAGCGUGAAGGAUGACUGCCCUACGGGUUGUAAACUUCUUUUAUAAAGGAAUAAAGUGAGGCACGUGUGCCUUUUUGUAUGUACUUUAUGAAUAAGGAUCGGCUAACUCCGUGCCAGCAGCCGCGGUAAUACGGAGGAUCCGAGCGUUAUCCGGAUUUAUUGGGUUUAAAGGGAGCGUAGAUGGGUUGUUAAGUCAGUUGUGAAAGUUUGCGGCUCAACCGUAAAAUUGCAGUUGAAACUGGCAGUCUUGAGUACAGUAGAGGUGGGCGGAAUUCGUGGUGUAGCGGUGAAAUGCUUAGAUAUCACGAAGAACUCCGAUUGCGAAGGCAGCUUACCAAGCUACUUCUGACGUUGAGGCACGAAAGCGUGGGGAGCAAACAGGAUUAGAUACCCCAGUAGUC
rnacentral:rRNA from 1 species